UCGCCUCAUAUUACUUGCACAUUAUAACCCGCAAUAGCGACCUUACAAUGCGUAGGCUGCUAGUGCACGGAGGCCUCCCUGUAUGUCGUUCGUGCCUAUUUCCUAUGCAAUUUUACGUGCAUUGUAGUACAGUACGUACGAGCCGGGCCAGCUUCUAGCGGAAUAUAUACCCGGUUUGAUCGCAAGCCAGGAGUCGUACUCGGCAUGCAGAUAAACCGCCUGGUUUGCGGGGAAGGUACAUACAACAUCAUGGCAAAGUUAGACAGCUAGAAUCAAGAUUUCCUCGGCCUGAAAUAAAUCGUCAAACCUGCCGAUUGGAUUGUAAUUUCGGAAAUCUUCUCCUGCUUUCCGUCUGGCCUGCCUUCACAACGUUGGGCUGCGUAUAUUUAUACAGAAAUUUUCCUACCGGCGGGUACGGCUAUACUCGCGAGCGAGCUUACUGAGUGUGUGUGUUUCGGAGUGUGUGGUUAGCACUGCAUGUAUUUCUCUGUAUCUGCACGCACUGAGAAAGGCCUUGGAUCGUAUCGACUGUAGUCUACGUGGGAAUAAAUUUUGCAGGCAGCGAAUUAUCUCUGCGAUAUCGUCGUAUACAGAAGCCGUUCCUCUACCGUCUACGUCUAUCUCUCUCUCCCAUCGUUUGUGCAUAACAAGCCUACGACUUCUAUCCGAAUCGAGGGGUAAAUUACUGCAGCAAGAUGGCGGAUCUAGAAGCCGUUUUGGCGGAUGUGAGCUACCUUAUGGCGAUGGAGAAGAGUAAAUCUACUCCGGCUGCCAGGGCAAGCAAGAAGCUGGUUCUUCCUGACCCGAGUGUAAGAACAGUGAUGUACAAAUACUUGGAGGAAAGGAAAGAAAUCACAUUUGAAAAGAUCUUUGGACAAAAGCUUGGAUAUCUUCUGUUCAAAGACUACUGUGAGAAUUGCGCAGAUGUGCAAGUCCAGCAACUGCAAUUCUAUGAAGCGAUCAAAGAUUACGAAAAACUUGACACCCUUGAUGAAAGGCUAGAAGAAGCCAGAAGAAUCUUUGAUAACUACAUCAUGAAGGAAGUCUUAUCAUGUACACAUCAAUUCUCAAAGUCAGCAGUAGAAAACGUGAGACAAAGACUGACCAACCAAGAAGCCAAACCAGACCUCUUUAGUGACUACAUAACUGAAAUCCUCAAUUCACUGAAAGGAGAAAUAUUUCAGAAAUUUUUAGAAAGUGAUAAGUUUACUAGGUUUUGCCAGUGGAAAAAUGUAGAACUAAAUAUAAAUGGCAUGUUGUCAAUGAAUGACUUCAGUGUACACAGAAUAAUUGGCAGGGGUGGCUUUGGAGAAGUUUACGGGUGCCGCAAGGCUGACACCGGCAAAAUGUAUGCAAUGAAAUGCCUGGAUAAGAAGCGGAUAAAGAUGAAGUCUGGAGAAACACUUGCCCUCAACGAAAGAAUAAUGCUUUCUCUAGUCAGUGAGACUGAUUGUCCGUUCAUCGUGUGCAUGACGUAUGCAUUCCAAACACCAGAUAAACUCUGUUUUAUUCUAGAUCUUAUGAAUGGUGGAGACCUCCACUACCACUUGUCACAGCACGGUGUAUUCUCAGAGGAAGAGGUUGGCUUCUACGCAGCAGAGAUCAUCUUGGGUCUAGAGCACAUGCAUGUCCGUAACGUGGUCUACCGUGACCUCAAGCCUGCUAACAUCCUACUCGAUGAGAAUGGUCAUGUCCGUAUCUCGGAUCUCGGUCUGGCCUGCGACUUCUCGUCGAAGAAACCACACGCCAGUGUAGGUACCCAUGGUUACAUGGCCCCUGAAGUACUGUCCAAAGGAACUGCCUACGACUCCAGCGCUGACUGGUUCUCAUUAGGAUGUAUGUUGUUCAAGCUACUCCAUGGGCACAGUCCGUUCAGGCAGCACAAGACGAAAGACAAGCAUGAGAUUGAUCGGAUGACAUUGACCAUGGAUGUUGAGUUCCCAGACAAGAUGAGUGAUGAGAUGCGAGCAUUACUAGCAGGUCUACUACAGAGAGAGGUAGCAAGCAGGUUAGGCUGUGAAGGCAGAGGGGCAACAGAAGUGAGAGAGCACCCCUUCUUCAAGACUACAGACUGGAACCAAGUAUACUAUCAAAAGGUACAACCUCCCCUCAUACCACCCAGAGGUGAAGUCAACGCUGCGGAUGCCUUCGAUAUCGGAUCCUUUGAUGAGGACGACGUUAAGGGGAUCAAGCUAUCAGAAUCAGACCAGGAGCUCUAUAAGAAUUUCCCCGUCACCAUCUCAGAGAGAUGGCAGCAGGAGAUCGCUGAGACGAUAUUUGAGACGGUCAACCAGGAGCACGACAAGCUAGAGAUGAAACGCAAGGCCAAGAAGAUGGACGAAGGAAUCUAUGCUAUGGGCAAGGACUGUAUAAUGCAUGGCAUCCUCCACAGACUGGGUGGCCCAUUCCUCAACACAUGGCAGAAGCGUUACUUCUAUCUGUUCCCUAACAGGUUGGAAUGGUCUGGUGACGGUGACAGGGGACCAAGUCAGCAAAAUGUGAUAGCCUUGGAAGAUGUGCUGACUGUAGAGGAAUCAAUGAUCAAGGGCAACAAGAGUAUCACAUUGAAGAUGAAAGCUGGUAAACCAUGCAUUCUACGAGCAGAGUCUGAGCCAGAGUAUGUGCAGUGGUUCAAAGACAUCCGCAGCACGUUUGAUGAGGCGCAGCGUAUGCUGAGGAAAGGACCCAAGAUGUUUGCGACCCAAGGUUCGUCUACUGAUAUCAUGCGCCAUCAUCCCCCUCUCGGCCAGCGCAACAGCAAUGGCCCCCACUAACCAACCCCUAACCCCCUCCCCCACCCCCCUUAACCAUCCCCUAUAACCUCCACCACCAUCAUAUAAAUACCACUUGCUACGUUAACCCAUUAACGCCUGACUUCUCUAAUACCCAUAGGCUUUGAUACAUAAGCCAUCUGGUUCCCAUAGACAAUCAAGUUACCAUGACACCAGUAACAACAACAAAAAAGCCCUCUAAAUCUGGCUCAUCAAUGUAAUAUAUUGUUUUUGGUUAAAGAUUUAUUGAUAAUAUCAAGAAAGAUGUUGACAUUACCCUGCUGAUCUUGACAAUUUACUACUGAUCGAUCAGUCUCCUCAAGCCUCCUAACGAUUGUUUACACAUUUACUUCGGGAGAAAUAUCCCAAAUUUAUAUUUCAAUGAUGAGAAAUCUGUACAUAUAUUCAGACAAGUUUCUCACAAUACUACUUUCUUAAUUAAUACUGUGUGGUUUAAAGAUAAUUCUGGUGUGAAUCGAUCUAACUGCUGCUUUAUAAAAUAUUUAAAAUUUAAAUGUCAUUUGUUCUGGUGCACCAACAUUACUAAUCUUUCUUAUCCACUUCCAGAUCAAUAACAAUUAUAACCAUCCAUUGCCUAUGUUUUUAAAAUCACUUAAAUAAAAAUUGCUUUUCAGAUCAUGUGACUAAUCCUAAACCCAUUGUUAAUCCUAAGCUGACUUAAUCCACAUUACGAUAAGAAAUGUGAAAUCCUUGAUUAUUUUACUUUCCUUGCAAGUUUUGAGCAGAUUCAGACAAACUGACUUGCCUGACAUACCAUCUUGACUCAUUUUGUUUUUGCUGAUGUGACAUUUGCAAAGUUGAAAAAUGAAUUGUUUGAAACCUUUUCGUUCCUGCAAAUUUAAGGUGAUGAUGGAAACAGCCGAUGCCAACGAUACUUUAAUACCUUGAAUAAAAUUUAAAUUGGAGAACCUGAUUUAAGAGGUCCAGUUUGGUUAUAUUUCAUUGACCUUGUUUUGUGAUUUGAAGAAGCCAGAUCCAUAAAGCAAACUCACCAGGACCUGUCCAAAUUUGUGUUCAUUAUGAGAAGAAAAAAAUAUUAAAAGUAGAUUAGAAAACAACUUUCAAAAUUUAAAAAAAAUGUACUUUUUGUUUUUAAUACGUAAGGGACCUAAGGCGCUUAUAUAUUUGGACAACGAUAAAGAAACCUGUGUUUGCUAAGCCUAUAAUGAGAACUAUAGUUGCCUUUGUAUAAAGAAAACAAAAUUAUUUAGAGCAGUAUUAGUUUCAUUGUUGUGUGUUUUAAUGGAUUAGCAAUGUUUCUACUCAUGAUACAGAGAGAGGUUUGCAUUUUCUGAUAAGAGGUUGUUUAGAAAAUGUAAGGAUGGAUUUUUUUUUUCCAGGACUGGAAAGAACUAUUAAUUUGAUAAUCCCGUUUUGUGGAUAAAGCGACUGUAGCUGUAAUUUUGAUCUUAGCAGUAAAAUUAGAUAGUAUUGAUAUGUACUACACAGAGUUGUGAUCAUCAGCGCAAUAGGCAAACAUUCAUGUUCAAAACAUGUUAUAGCUGGAUAAUUUUGUUCACAUCCCUUGAUGAAAUUGAGAGAGUUUUCACUAAUAUAUUCUUGAUACUAGGGAAUGUUGCUAGGUGUGUGCUACAGCCAUGAUAACUACUGCUACUGCGUCAUACUUCGGAAACCAGCAAAUUUUAUGAAAACUUGGUAUUAAUGUUUUAUUACUUUUGACAAAGUAGAGAGAGUUAGCUUGCAGUUUCAAUCAAAAUAUAUAUUCUGUAGUAUGAAUUGUAUUAAUUAUAAGUUUUGGCAUUUUUCUUGUUUUCUAUCAAAUCUGAAAAAUGGAGUCAAACAAUUGCCUCUUUUUUGUGUGAAUAUCUAAUUAUGUAACAUGAAGUUAUUACAAAAGAAUAUCAUUUUGGGGGUAUUUUUUUAGUCUUGUGCUAGAGAUGCUUAGUGUGUGUAAUAUGAGGGGAACAAAUGAAUAACCUCUAUACGUGUAAAAUUCAAACAGAAAAACUAUUGUGAGUGUGCUACUAUACGGAAGAAAAAAAUGAAGUGUGAAUAUAGAUAUGUUCACAGGAAGACGCCGGUAGUCAAGUCAUGAAUUUAUUUGCUUUAAAUGAUGACGAUUGCAAAUCGUGCUGUGCACAAUAUAUAUAUAUAUAAAUAUUAUCCUUUUCAUCAAUGCCUCGAUGUAGAACUAUAGGUGAGGAAAGAAGAUUGUUUUCAAUGGUGCAUGGCUUUGUACAAUGAAAUGGCAUACAAUGUAAAAAAAAAAUGGAAGGGAGAUGAGUGUACGUUAUUAAUUAGAAUGUGGUCGUUAGAGAUCACAUAUUUGUAAUGAUGAAAGAUAUUGUGUAUUUAUCACCUAAAGGUAUGAUGAAUAAUUGCUUACUUGUAUGAAAAAGAAACUACAAAAAAGAGGAAAAUUGUAUGUUUUUAUAGAGAUGUAAUCACUAACUUUGUGUGCAUAUUUUCUUUUUUUGUUUACAUAAUUAUACUAACAAGGUUUGAAUUGAAGAAUUAUAGAGAAACAACGUAGGUAUUUAACCAUUUGUGGAAGUCUUAUUCUCUCUUUUUGCUUUGUAUACUACAAAUUUGCACUUUUGAAGAUUUCAUGUUUGAAAUUGUAAAUGAGAGCGCACAGUUCUAUCACCUAUGUCUGUAGCUUGUUGAAUAAUAAUAAUAAUAAUAAUAAUAAUAGUAGUAGUAUACAAAAAGAGUUAUAAAAGAAUGAAGAAUUGUUCAAAACAUGACUGUAUAUCUGCACCCAAGCGAGCUUAUGUCUAGUAGCCACUUCUUACCGCUUCUUUCUUACCCUCUAUCUCUCUCUCUCUCUCUGUCUCUCUCUCUCUCUUUUGAUAUUCUCACAACAACAAAAAUCAAACUAUUUAUACAGAAGGUUAUAUGUAAGUUAGUCACAAAAACAACAACAAAAAUCUUCUUUUACCAGAGUUGAUGAAGGUUCCUUUCUGUGGACAAUAUUUAGUGUGCAAACUAUUUUUAGGCCAUUGUGGAAGAAAUAUAGCUUGAGGAAAGUGUAACUUCCUCGCCAGGCAGUUUUAUCUUUUAAAUCGAUAUUGAGACCUUUAGUUCUUAGACCUCUUUUCUUUUUUUUUGUAAUAUGUACUUUUGAAUAUUUUGCGAGGCACCUAUAUUUGCUACGAUAUUUUUAGCAAAUGAAAAUAAAAUGUUGUCUUGAAAUUGUAAUGUAAUUGAUGUGAACUGUAAAAAAGAAAAAAGGAAAAAAAAAAUCAGAAGCAAAUCAUGUUAAGUUGAUGAACUCUUUCCUAAUGCUGAUGUAGCACAACUAUUGUCUUAAUUUCUGGUUGUGUCUCUGUUUUUUUGUUUUUUUAAAUAUGUAUACUAUGAAGAAGAAAAUGUCUUGGAUCUACUAUGUUGUUUGUGUACAAUACUUUUCAAUGUUGUGGUUGAUUUGGAAGCUGUAGGAUUUAUAAGAUCUAAAAGACAUUUUGGUUUCAGUUUGAAUAGUUACAAGCACUUCUUUGUCCAAUUUCUUUGUUUUUAAAGGCAAUGUGUACCCAUGGAAGCUGUGAUUCCUCAAUAAUCCCUAAACUAGUACCAUUUGUUGUUUGUUUUAAAUUUGGGGGGUCAUUUAAGCGAUAUCUGCUUAAAAAAUGAAAGAAGACUGCAGUGGUUAACAUAACCACAUGCAGUUGAUUUCUGUGAGUUGAAAAAAAAUGAAAAAAAUGAUCCUGUGUUUAUAUAUAUGUACUUUGAACAGAGUUUUUUUUAGCAUACUUUGUGAUGAUUUUAAUCUUUAUUGAAUGUAAAUGUUGGAUUAUGGUGUGUUUAAUACAGACUCUCUCCAAUUUAACCACCAACUGGCUGGUCGGAUGAAUUUGAUAGGGAGCAAUUCAAAUGGCUCUUGACAAAAUAUUUAAAACAUACAAAGAAGAAAGAAAGUAGAAUGUAGAAUCAAGUUGCUUGUUUAAACUCACCUCACCGUAAGAGUGAGAUGGAGACAAAUAUCUGCCAAGUCUUAUCUUGUGUGUUUCUGAUGCAAGCCCCCUAAAGCCAUAAUCGAAUCGCGCACACUGGGACUGCGUGAGAGGGUGUACAGCAAUGCAUUCUGGCUACUGGCAUGCAUUACAAGGGCAGAGGAGUAGCACAGGAGAGCUAACACAUUAUACAUCAUCCCCCCCACCCCACCCCCUCUAAGGAUCACCCUCUCUGACUUGACUUCUCCCUCUCCUACCAGCCCCACCCCUCCUGUACGUCUGGGGAGCUUCUGGUUACACCCCUGCUGGUAUAAACACUCAAGAUCAUGAAACAGAUGAGAAAGGGCGUGGCAUGGCACAAAACGCAUCGUUGUUGGAAGAGAGUCUUGGAUCGGAAUAUGAUUGCUCAAAGUGGGCUUGAGAGUACAUAUGAACUUCUCUUGAGGAGAGCCUGUGACAGUGAGGGGUAAACUAUGAGGAGGAGGAGGGGGAAGGGGAAGGGAGGAGGAGAGAUCGAUGGAAAUGAAGCAUCAGACUCUACGCAAGAUAAGAUGUAUGACUCUUCAGGUCGUGAAAGUUCAACCCGCAGCUUUUGUCAAUGCAUGUCAUAAACGUUCAGAUUCCCUAUAUUACAUUUUAAGAAUUAAUUCUAAAUGAUCCUCUCAUUGGGACGUGAUUGUAAUCCAGACAGACGCCUAUCAUCCGGAUGAUCUACACCUUGUAAAGGUUCUGAUGGAGGUUUCUUGUAGUUUGGGUUUCUGCCCAGCCCUUCGUGCUUCUAUAUUAAAAUGAGCUCGCUGAGGGAGGGAGGCUCAGACAUGGCUAUGCAGCAAUGGAAAUAAAAGGCGCAGGCGCCUAAUUUCCAUGUUCCAAUCAUUUUGAUUUUUCUAGAAAUAGAUGAAUGCUAAUUAAGUUUUCACUAUAUUACACUUAUAUUUAUCACAAUUUAAUAUACGUGGUAUCACAAAUGCAUUUUGCGUCCAAUGAUUUUUGAUCGAUAAUGAUUUUGUUUUCAUGGCUUAUUGUCUAUUUAUCCCAGUUUAUGUGAUUUAUUUUGAGAAAUCCAUAACAGGGAAAUAAUAAUGUGGGACUAGGUAUACACCUUGAUUGAUUUUAUUCCACGUAGACAUGGGUUUGAAUUGUAUGGAAUUUAGCAAGAUCAAUUGCAUUAUCUUACAUUAUGUCAUUACACUUUGGUAGAAAAUUGUUUCUUUUUCCUCAUAGAAUUUGGAAAAGCCAUAUAUUUUUAACAGGGAUAGGUAGAUACAUAUUACAGAAAGAAAACAUCAGGAUUUACGCAGCAAUGGCACUUUAACAUGUGUUGUAUAAAUGCAGACCCAAACUACACUCAGCACCUUAUAUAUGUUUUGAAAGCAGCUCAUAUUUAAUCAAAUCAGUUUCUUUUAUUUAUUCAUUCUUGAAUAUGAAGAAGCACUUAUUUUUAAUCUUGUCACUUUAUCUGGCUGUCAUGCAGAAAAUUUGAAUUACUUGAAUGCAGCUAUUGAAUCGAGAUCGUUUGACCAAAUAUUGAAACUAUCGCUAAAUCCGCACCUGUGUCCAGGUGCGGAUGAAGUAGGUAUUUAAACCUGCUUGAGCGAUAGUGCUCAUUUUCAUAUGUAUAUAGUGUAACCGAAAUGAAUGAAAUUAUUGUACAGAAAUAUGAAGCUUUUGCAGGAUAGCCCAAAUCACUCUGACCAGCCAUUUCAAAUUUAGACGUGGCAAAAGAAAUAUUAUGUGUUACUCAGAGAGAGAACGAGAGAGAGAAAAAGAUUGCACAAGAGAGAGAGAGAGAGAGAGGGAGAGACAGUGAGCAAAAGAAAAGACUUAAUUUAAUCAGAGUUAUUUGUUGAGUAUAUAUGUCAAAUAUAGAUUACUACUACAAAAUUAUAGAUUUUAUGAUUAUCAUUGGUUGUGUGUGUUUGUGUGCCUGAGUGUGUAUAGUUUGAUUUGGAAUUGGUUGGGCUCAAAGGUCAAAGUUCAAAUUGAUAUGACACCGUGCUUUAAAUGUGAUAGAGCAAGUUUGGGAAAAAUAUAUGUGCUGAGUAUAGAUUAUACAAGACCAGAAAAUAGAAUAAAUCAAGAAAUAUUUUAGGGAUCAGGUAUUAAUAAGUUUAUCACCUUGUACUAGAAACAGAGAGGGUCAAAGGUCAAAUGUCACACGACCUUUACUCAACUUUAUCUGUCAAUUUUCACCUCAGCACAACAGAUAUUGUGCUUGAAAGCCUAGAAUUGGAGUGCUACCCUUUGUAAAGUUUAUUACAAAUGAAUAUGAGAGGGAUAUAAUUAUUUAGUGUUCAAUAUCAAAGGGGGAAAAAUGGAGACAUUAGCUUUUUUUUUGUUUGAUUGAUUGGAAUUCCCCUUAGUUUGGUGUUCUGCAGACAAUCAACUCAUCGGUUUAAUUUUAUUAUAAUUUGUUUCAGCCCCAAAAGGACAUUGAUUCAUUUCUUUAGAUGAGCGAUGUGUUCUGAUCUACAGAGCAAGAUGGAGUGUUUGGUAGCAUGUGAACAUACCUCAUGCUAGACCAGUGAUACAUGCACCAAUCAUACUCUGUUAGAUACUUCAGAACAAAUGCAUCACUCUUAAUUAGAUUCAUACCUACAAAUCAGUAGCCAUAUACAUAUUUCAGCAUUUUUGAAAUACAGAUCUGUUUUUUUUUAAUCUCUAAUUAAAUUACUCUGUAAUUAAAUAACUAAUAAUUUGUCAGUCAUGUUUUAGAUUGUUGUUUUUUUCCUUGCCAAUGUGCAAAGUUUAAAUAGGUAAAUUUGGAUCUUCAUGCAGAAUUUGUCACUUUUUUGUCAUUCUCUUUGUUUUGAUCCUGCCACAGCUAGCAUUAUGUUUUGACCAAA